rnacentral:lncRNA from 1 species
GAUUUUCUUCAUUAAUUAAACAUUACUUGUCCUCAAUCAUUCACCUUUCUCUUCUAUCUUGAUAUUCAACAAAACUUUUAUUCUAAUAAAAGGAGAAAAGAAAACCGAAAUAAACUAUCAAAUGGAGUAAGAGGCAUAUCUAAUAAUUAACAAACUUGAAAUUUCCAUAUUUUAGUAAGGGAUUUUUGUUCCUCUAUACUUUUAUAUAAUAAGUAAAGGCAUGGUGACAUAGUAGUGAAGCUAGUGUCUAAUGUAUUAGAUGAAUAGGCUUGUGAAACCCCAAAUUAGUAACCGAUCCACCAAUUCCUUUUGGAUAAUGCUUAAAAUAUAUAACAAAACGUAAUUACUGUAUAGGCAAAUACUGCACUAAGUUAAAAUUCAGUGAGCACAAUAGACCCAAACAGACUUACAUGGACGGGUCAAUGGGACGAUCAGAAGGCUCAUGGCUGGGGUUGGUGUCCUCCGUUGGACUUCAGAGGGGUACCCGCCUAAGGUCGGCCCCAAGUUGUCGAGCCUAUGUCAAUAAAAAUAAAAUUAGAUAGGAGUAAUAAAAUAAAUACACAUAAACACAAAUAACAGACAAGAGCACGAAUUUGCUUCUGAGAUUCUGCACUUAAAAUAAAUACAUACAGAUAUUGAUUUCUUCUUUAUAUAGCCAUCAAGUAUCACUGAAACCUCAUAUCAAUACUCACUUUAUUCCAAUUUGUACCAUAAUCAUCCCAUUUUGCUAAAAAUGAAUGAUACUAUUCCAUUUCUUUUUUCUUUUUCUUUUUUUUAUGACGGUGGUGUUUGGCCCAGCUUGCAUGCACCUCGACUAUUCCACCGAGCACUUGCUACCACCCACCAGCACAAGUAUGGAGAAACUAUGCCUACCAUCACCUAGUGUCUUUUUUCUUUUUGUUUUUUUCCUUUCUUUUUUAUGAAGGCGGUAUCUGGCCCAGCUUGCGUACACCUCAACUAUUCCAUUGGGUAUCUACUACCUCCUACAAGUACGGGUACGAUAAAUCUGCCUACCUAAGCUUAGGCAGAAGAAAUCACUUAAUGUUAUUUUGUCUAUGCUGGAAUUUCAACCUCACACCAUUCCAUUUCAAUAUAAUUUUCACAACUUUCAGAUAUUCAAAUUCAUUCAACUACUCAAACUUUUAACUUUUUCUCUAACAACAAACUUUCAACUAUUACUUUAAUACUUUCGCUGUCUAAUACUCCCUCGGUUUCAAUUUAUGUGAACUCAUUUGACUGGGAGGGAGUAUAUAAUUAAUUUAACAUCUUAAACUCCACGUUCAGUCAAAAAGCGUAAUGCAAACACAUGAAAUGCGCCGUACAGUGCUAACAAUAUAUGAUCGCGAUAAAUUGUGCGAUAUUGUUAUCAUUCAUGAAAAUAUAUACUACCUGUGAAAGCGCGAAAGUUUUUCUGAAGCAUUAGCACUGAUUAAUCACUGUGAAAUCCAUAGUCGACAACAGCGAAUUUUCGAUUGGCGGAUGAAAACGAGCCGGAUAUGAAAGCCGCCGAACCCGACCCGGUCAAUGAGGAUUUGC